CGAAUCCUGAAGUGUUAGUGAAGCUUUCAUACUGUUUUGACCGAACAACAAAUCGUUGGGAAUUCAUAUUUUAUCUUGGCGAACAAGCCCUGCAAAUGGACGAGGGAAGUUUAAAGAGGUAAAGAGAAUACCCACCUGUGAUUAUAGCGGGUUCAAAACGAUGCUUUCCCUGCUUACGGCAUAUUGGGAUUCGU
rnacentral:other from 1 species